CUCACUGGUCGAGUCGGCCUGCGCGGAAGAUGUAACGGGGCUAAACCAUGCACCGAAGCUGCGGCAGCGACACUGUGUGUUGUUGGGUAGGGGAGCGUUCUGUAAGCCUGUGAAGGUGUGUCGUGAGGCAUGCUGGAGGUAUCAGAAGUGCGAAUGCUGACAUAAGUAACGAUAAAGCGGGUGAAAAGCCCGCUCGCCGGAAGACCAAGGGUUCCUGUCCAACGUUAAUCGGGGCAGGGUGAGUCGACCCCUAAGGCGAGGCCGAAAGGCGUAGUCGAUGGGAAACGGGUUAAUAUUCCCGUACUUGGUGUUACUGCGAAGGGGGGACGGAGAAGGCUAUGUUGGCCGGGCGACGGUUGUCCCGGUUUAAGCGUGUAGGUGUGUGUUCCAGGUAAAUCCGGUUCACUUUAACACUGAGGCGUGACGACGAGGCACUACGGUGCUGAAGCAACAAAUGCCCUGCUUCCAGGAAAAGCCUCUAAGCAUCAGGUAACAUCAAAUCGUACCCCAAACCGACACAGGUGGUCAGGUAGAGAAUACCAAGGCGCUUGAGAGAACUCGGGUGAAGGAACUAGGCAAAAUGGUGCCGUAA
rnacentral:rRNA from 1 species